UACGAGGGGGGCAAGCGUUGUUCGGAAUUAUUGGGCGUAAAGAGCUUGUAGGCGGUUUGUCGCGUCUGCUGUGAAAAUCCGGGGCUCAACCCCGGACUUGCAGUGGGUACGGGCAGACUAGAGUGUGGUAGGGGAGACUGGAAUUCCUGGUGUAGCGGUGAAAUGCGCAGAUAUCAGGAGGAACACCGAUGGCGAAGGCAGGUCUCUGGGCCACUACUGACGCUGAGAAGCGAAAGCAUGGGGAGCGAACAGG
rnacentral:rRNA from 1 species